rnacentral:rRNA from 1 species
CCUACGGGGGGCAGCAGUGGGGAAUCUUCCGCAAUGGGCGCAAGCCUGACGGAGCAACGCCGCGUGAGUGAAGAAGGUCUUCGGAUCGUAAAGCUCUGUUGAAGGGGACGAACGUGCAUAACAUGAAUAAGGUUAUGUAAUGACGGUACCUUUUGAGGAAGCCACGGCUAACUACGUGCCAGCAGCCGCGGUAAUACGUAGGUGGCGAGCGUUGUCCGGAAUCAUUGGGCGUAAAGGGAGCGCAGGCGGUCAUGUAAGUCUUACUUAAAAGUUCGGGGCUCAACCCCGUGAUGGGUAAGAAACUAUAUGACUUGAGUACAGGAGAGGAAAGCGGAAUUCCCAGUGUAGCGGUGAAAUGCGUAGAUAUUGGGAGGAACACCAGUGGCGAAGGCGGCUUUCUGGACUGCAACUGACGCUGAGGCUCGAAAGCCAGGGGAGCGAACGGGAUUAGAUACCCGGGUAGUC